UCGUGGAGUGAUUUGUCUGGUUUAUUCCGAUAACGAGCGAGACUCUAGCCUAUUAAAUAGUACGCACAUUGUUAUUGUGUGUUGUGACUUCCUAAAGGGAUUUUCGGUGUACAGCCGCAAGAGAUUGAGCAAUAACA
rnacentral:rRNA from 1 species